CGUCAAAUCAUCAUGCCCCUUACGUCUUGGGCAACACACGUGCUACAAUGGGCGCAACAAAGAGCAGCGAGCGUGCAAGCGUAAGCGAAUCUCAAAAAAGCGUUCUCAGUUCAGAUUGUGGGCUGCAACCCGCCCGCAUGAAGCAGGAGUUGCUAGUAAUCCCGAAUCAGAAUGUCGGGGUGAAUGCGUUCCCGGGUCUU
rnacentral:rRNA from 1 species